CACACGCGACACCAGAGCCGGGCGCACCUUCCGCGGUGCCAGCCACGGGGAAGAUGUGAAGUUUUAAUCAUGCAGACAGAGCGGGGGUGCGGCGCUCCCCCCGCAGCACAAGCUCCGGACGCCGGCAGCAGCGAGCAGGACUUGGGGCGAGCGGCGGCGGGGAGCGGCGGAAAUACCGCCGCCCGCCCGCGGGCACAGCGGCCAUGGCGCGCCCGCGGGCCUGAGCGCUCCGCAGACGGAUUUAUUUAUGUUUCGUCCCCCUCUUCCCUCUUUUCCCCCCCUUCUUUUCCUACCACAAUUAUAAUUCAUUCCAAUAAUAAGAGGCGGGAGCGCGGAGCGGCGCAGUCCGCAGCGGGCAUGCCCGGCCCCCGGCCCGGGAAGUCCCCGCAGGGGAGCGGGGGCUGCCCGCCCGCCGGCCGCGGGGCUCCUCUGCCGCCCCUCUGUCGCCUGCCCACAGCAUAACCAGCCCCCUUUCCCCCCCCCUCCCUCCCUCGCCGUGGCAAAUCUUGGAGCGCAAGAGAUCCGCUGGGCAUAGGGAGGGGAUAUAUAGAUGUAUAUGGUUUUUUUUUUCUCUUCUCCCCCACCCCCCCGGUCCUUCCCCCUCUCCAAGACCUGAGGAAAUCCAGCCCAAGUUCGCCGCGAUGACUGUGCUGCUGGCAUCGGGGUUUCUCAGCGGCAUCCCAGCCUCUGGACCGCCUCGCCGCUGCUCGCUUUGAAUCUUGAACGCUGGGUUAAAGCUUAAUUCUCACGUUGUGGUUGCUGGGCUGCUGCUUUCCCGUGUUUUGCAAUGGGAGGUGGAGGAAAAGGGCUUGUCCGUGAGUCAACACUGAAAAUGUGAUUAGGACGAACUGCUUUUACUAAUCUGUUUCUAACCUUUUAGUCCAUGUUGGCCUGUGACCCCUUUCAGCUUUCAGAUCGAGCCUGAUUAGACCACAACACUGGUCUCCCUAUGGAAGCAGCUGUUUCCAUCUGGCAUUGAGAUCCUAUGGAGCAGCUGAGGAGGGGGAUGGCUCUUCGUAUCCAUGAUGCCUGGAUGCUUCUUUUUGUAAUCCCUGCUUUGGUCACCCCAGCUGCCAUCAAUCAUGAAGACUACCCUGCUGAUGAAGGGGACCAGACCUCCAGCAAUGACAAUCUGAUCUUUGAUGACUACCGAGGGAAGGGCUGUGUGGAUGACAGUGGCUUUGUGUACAAACUGGGAGAACGUUUUUUCCCGGGGCAUUCCAACUGUCCCUGUGUCUGUACUGAGGAUGGACCUGUUUGUGAUCAGCCAGAAUGCCCUAAAAUCCACCCAAAGUGUACAAAAGUGGAACACAACGGAUGCUGUCCAGAAUGCAAAGAAGUGAAAAACUUUUGUGAAUAUCAUGGGAAAAAUUACAAAAUCUUGGAGGAAUUUAAGCCCUCGCCAUGCGAAUGGUGUCGCUGCGAGCCCAGCAAUGAAGUUCACUGUGUUGUAGCAGACUGCGCAGUUCCUGAGUGUGUCAACCCAGUCUAUGAACCAGAACAGUGUUGUCCUGUCUGCAAAAAUGGAAUUCCUGAAAUGGCCAGAUUUUAAGAUUGCAGUUAAAACCCCUUCAGUCAAAGUCUAUGCAAUACGCUGAUUGGGUGUGCAGAUGCAAGUUGAGUGUGACCAGCCAAGAAGAUGUAUCCCCCAUGCUGGACUUUGGUGGACUCCACAAUCCUCUUCAGAGGUCCCAGAGACUGAAGCUGGUAGCCUAGCAUAGCAGCCUCACCCUUUGUUCUUGGUGGAUAAAGUAUUCAUGGCAGCCAGACAGGUUUUUGGGUACUCAGUUGACCCCACCACCCUGUUCAGAUCUCUGAGUGGUCACAGGAAGGACCUGCUCCUCUUCAGGCAAUGCUUGCCCAGCGCAUGGAGGCUGAUGGUUGUGUCAUGGCUGACUCCUUAGCACUGCUGUGCUGAUGCAGAGAUGCCACCCCUGAUCAGGAGUCAUCUUCCAGUUUUGCAGAACCUGUAGAAGCCAUCUGAACAUUGCAAUGACAGAGCCCAGAGCACCAAGACUUCGUGGCCAGCUGUGAACAUCGAUGGUCUUGGAAGGCUGAAUACAGAAGAAAAUUCCUGAGACUACAAAGGAUGCAUUUUUGAUGGUUUGAAAGCUAGUGUUCUUUGUAUUUACCAGAAGGAAUGUAAACUGUGGUGCCCUAUUAGCUUAAUUAAAGGACUGAUUUGAUUACCAACAGAGGGGAAAGAAGGAUCAAUUUAAGCAGUGGUAGACGAUCACGACUGAAAACAAGGUGGUAUAUUUGGCCAAGAAGUCACCAGCCUGACAAAAUACUUCAGUACUUACUUCACUGUUCCUUGAAAAAUGUCAUUUCCCUGAAGUUGGUUUUCAGUGGAGCUCAUUCACCUCCAUCACUCUGGGCUAAGUGAUUAAAGGCAUGUAGGUGCUGAAUUAGCUGAUAAGAGUUAGGUAUGUAAGCACCUGUCAAGAGCUAGCUCCUCCAUUGCUUUUGGAAAUCUCCAAAGAGAGAUCCAGUUGGAUUUAUCUGGAUGCUUAAAUGUCCUGCUAACUCAAAACUAUACCCUGCUCCCUGUGGACACAGCUGUUGGAAGAGUCAUCUAAUAAUGGUGAAAAGCUUUGGAAAGGUAUAUAGAGGUUACACCUUCCAAAACUGGUUAUCCUGAUGCUGGAUUGCAUCGAGGAGGACUGAGUUGAAUCUGCCACCUCCUGAAGUUUAGAAGAAGGAGAGACUAAAAGAGGCAAGUGAGAGGAAAAGCCUUUAGAGAACAAAAAAGACAUGAACUGAACAGUGCUUAAUGUGAUUAACUCCAUCACACAGCUCAGUGCUCACACAGAGUAGAAGCUGCUGGACUGUGUAGCCUCAGAGUGACAGGGAUGCUGCCAGGAAAAGCUCCAUUCAAAGAGUGCUGUGUAGGGAGCCAGCGGGACAGCAGCCUCUUUGACCAGACAUGUCCAUCUGCAUGCUCACAGGUCAGCUAAUGCUUCCCAAGCAUUUGUGAUCUCUUCCUCUGCCCAGGAAACAAGCAGAGGAUAAUUCACAUAUUAAACAAGGUGGAAGAAGACUCUGCCAGACAGCCAAAAGCAGUAUAGGAACUGAAAGCCACUGUCCUGCUUAUGUACCCCAGGCCCUAACCAUGUUUCCAUGCUUUCAUCCCCGCAGAGUCCAAAAUGAAUGUCUACAGGCACCCUAAGGAGAAGGGUUUGGGAGGAUUAUGAAAAGUCAUUUCUUGGAUGAGACUUGUGCCAAAGUUCUCAUUGAGCAGACACAGCUCACAGAGACGUGGGAAGCACAUUACAUCGUCUCUGCAUUGCUCUUUAAACUCAGAAAUAUUUAUGAAGAAGCAUUUGCUCAUCGGUGACUGUUUCUCCUUGGGAAAAAUGUUGCUGAAAUUUGUGUGCACAAGCCUAUGGCAGGGGUAGCUCAAGAUCCACUACAAUCAUGAUAGUCCAAACUGCUUUGCAGGAACCACGAUAAUUCCUGCCGGCAUCGAGGUGAAGGUGGACGACUGCAACAUCUGCCACUGCCACAAUGGGGACUGGUGGAAGCCGGCGCAGUGCUCCAAGCGCGAGUG